rnacentral:rRNA from 1 species
UAUGGUUGCAAACCAUUAGGAUGUAAGUGGGUGUUCAAGAAGAAGCUUAGGCCCGAUGGUACGAUUGAAAAGUACAAGGCUAGGCUUGUGGCCAAGGGCUAUGACCAGAAAGAAGAGGAAGAUUACUUCGACACUUAUUCACCUGUAGCUAGACUGACCACCAUUCGAGUAUUACUCUCGUUGGCAGCCUCGCAUGGUCUUCUCGUCCACCAGAUGGAUGUUAAGACGGCUUUUCUGAAUGGAGAGCUAAAAGAGGAAAUCUACAUGCAACAGCCAGAUGGCUUUGUGAUAGAUGGUCAGGAAAGAAAGGUGUGUAGGUUGCUGAAAUCUUUAUAUGGCCUGAAGCAAGCACCUAAGCAAUGGCAUGAUAAGUUUAAUACAAGUUUGACAUCUGUUGGUUUCGUUGCUAAUGAGGCUGACAAAUGUGUAUACUAUCGCCAUGGUGGGGGUGAAGGAGUUAUACUGUGCUUGUAUGUUGAUGACAUACUGAUAUUCGGAACCAACCUCAAAGUCAUUGAGGAGGUCAAGUCGUUUUUGUCUCAGAACUUUGAGAUGAAAGACCUUGGUGUGGCUGAUGUUAUCUUGAACAUCAAGCUACUGAGAGAU